UAGGAUAUAGCUUAAUGGAGAGCACUUUCCUAGCAUGCAAGAGGCCCUGGGUUUGAUCCCCAACACUGUAA
rnacentral:tRNA from 1 species